CGUUUUUUGGGUUAGGAAUUAAUUUUAUAAGAAAUAGUGUCUGCCCACUGAUAUUUAAAUGGCCGCGGUAUUUUGACCGUGCGAAGGUAGCAUAAUCAUUAGGCUAUUAAUUGUAGUCUGGUAUGAAUGGCGGGAUGAAUGGGAGCUGUUUCUAUUUUAAAGGUUGAAUUUUAGGUCUUUGUGAAGACGCGGAGAUGGACCUAAUAGACGAGAAGACCCUGUCAAGCUUGAUAUUUAUAUAAAUUUUUAAUGUCUUGGUUAAAUUUUUGUAAUAUUCUGUUGGGGCGACAGUGUUAUUUUAACUUACACUAUUUAGCAGGUGAUAUAUUUAGGUAUAUUUUUUUAUGACCCGUAUUUUACGAGUAGGAGACUAAGUUACUGCAGGGAUAACAGCGUAAUUUUUUCAGAGAGUUCUUAUUGAUGAAGAAGAUUGCGACCUCGAUGUUGAAUUAGGAUCCCUAAUAGGUGCAGCUGUUUAAUUAAGGUAGUCUGUUCGACUAUUAAUUUCCUACA
rnacentral:rRNA from 1 species